AGUGUCAGGGGAUGGGAAUCGAACCCACGACCUUCCGCUUACCGGGCAGAUGCCAUGACCACUAGGCCACAUGACC
rnacentral:tRNA from 1 species